UGGGGAAUAUUGCACAAUGGGGGAAACCCUGAUGCAGCGACGCCGCGUGAGUGAAGAAGUAUUUCGGUAUGUAAAGCUCUAUCAGCAGGGAAGAAAAUGACGGUACCUGACUAAGAAGCCCCGGCUAACUACGUGCCAGCAGCCGCGGUAAUACGGAGGAUGCAAGCGUUAUCCGGAUUUAUUGGGUUUAAAGGGUGCGUAGGCUGUGUAGCAAGUCAGUGGUGAAAGCCCGGUGCUCAACACCGGAACUGCCAUUGAUACUGUUGCGCUGGAAUACGGAUGCCGUGGGAGGAAUGAGUAGUGUAGCGGUGAAAUGCAUAGAUAUUACUCAGAACACCGAUUGCGAAGGCAUCUCACGAAUCCGUCAUUGACGCUGAGGCACGAAAGCGUGGGGAUCAAACAGGAUUAGAUACCCUGGUAGU
rnacentral:rRNA from 1 species